CAGGAUGAACGCUGGCGGCGUGCUUAACACAUGCAAGUCGAACGAAGCAUUCUAACUCGUCGGAGGAGGAAAUGACUGAGUGGCGGACGGGUGAGUAACGCGUGGGUAACCUGCCUUAUACAGGGGGGUAACAGUUAGAAAUGACUGCUAAUACCGCAUAACCCGCUAGUACCGCAUGGUACAGACGGAAAAGAUUUAUCGGUAUAAGAUGGACCCGCGUCUGAUUAGCUAGUUGGUGAGGUAAUGGCUCACCAAGGCGACGAUCAGUAGCCGGCUUGAGAGAGUGAACGGCCACAUUGGGACUGAGACACGGCCCAAACUCCUACGGGAGGCAGCAGUGGGGAAUAUUGCACAAUGGGGGAAACCCUGAAUGCAGCAACGCCGCGUGAAGGAAGAAGUAUUUCGGUAUGUAAACUUCUAUCAGCAGGAAAGAAAAUGACGGUACCUGACUAAGAAGCCCCGGCUAACUACGUGCCAGCCGCCGC
rnacentral:rRNA from 1 species